AGGCAAAUUAAGACAAGCAGUUGAAAGCAAAAUUCUAGAAAAUGUCAACAGAUUCGCCACCGAAAACGGUGGCUUAUUUCCUUGACCCUGAUGUUGGAAAUUUCCAUUAUGGCCCAGGACAUCCUAUGAAACCUCAUCGUAUAGCUCUGACACACAGUCUAGUAUUAAACUACAAUCUUCACAGUAAAAUGGAGAUAUACCGGCCCUACAAAGCCUCCGCCCACGAUAUGUGUAGGUUUCACUCAGAAGAGUACAUUGAUUUCCUACAGAGAGUCUCGCCAAAUAAUGUCACCAAUUUCACUAAACAACUCAGUAUGUUCAAUGUCGGUGAUGACUGGUAAGUAAAUGUGGUUUGUCUGUCUUUGCUAGAAAUUUACAGGGACAGCUAUGCACUGAUUGUUAAUGAAGUCAUAUUACCAAUUACCGAUAUAUUUGUUUAUCAUAUUUUAUUUUGUUGUGUGUUUUUUUAAGCAAAUUUAUAUCUACCACAAACUAAGAGUGAAAUCCGUGUUAAAUUAAAUCAGGAUUAUAGGUACUUAAUUCCAAACUAUAGGUGCAAAAAACAUAUUCAUGUAUUAUAAUUCAGAUACAUAUACGUGUAAUCCAAGAUCCAUUUAAAAAGCAAUUACAUGUCCACAUGUAUUACCAAAUCUUGAAAAUUCAUCAUGAAGAUAUUAAAUGAUUCCACUGUUUAUGUUGUGUUGCUGAUGAGCAGUUCUAUGCACAUUUUGGAAUCUCUAAAAUUAUUUUAUAUUGUCUGUAUUGUUUCAUAUAAGGUCACUGCAAUAUUAAUAAAGUUAUUGAUAAAAUCCAGGAUGAGAACUUUUUGCAAAAAUAGGUAAUUAUUAAUUAAUACGAGUAAACGUAUAUCAGCUGUACUUUGACACACUUGUUGGGUUAUGAAAAAUUUAACAUGUAGGUAUUGUAUGCUUUAUUAUCUUAUGUAUGUACUGUCAAUAAAAGUUUCCUUCCUUUCUUUUAGUCCUGUUUUUGAUGGCUUGUUUGAUUUCUGCUCCAAGUACACUGGUGCAUCACUAGAGGGCGCUGUGAAACUCAACAACAAACACUGUGACAUAGCAGUGAAUUGGUCAGGGGGACUCCAUCACGCCAAGAAGUUUGAGGCCUCUGGGUUCUGUUAUGUUAAUGACAUUGUUAUCGCAAUAUUGGAGCUUCUAAAGUACCACCCUCGAGUGCUGUACAUUGAUAUUGACAUUCACCAUGGCGACGGAGUACAGGAAGCGUUCUACCUCACUGACCGAGUCAUGACCGUGUCCUUCCACAAAUACGGAAACUACUUCUUCCCCGGCACAGGCGAUAUGUACGAGAUUGGUGCCGAGAGUGGUCGACAUUACUCCGUCAAUGUGCCGCUUAAAGAAGGGAUAGAUGAUCAAACUUACAUCCAGCUCUUUCAGCAAGUGAUGAAAUCUGUGAUGGACUUUUACCAGCCAACUUGUGUAGUAUUACAGUGUGGAGCUGACUCUUUGGGCAAUGAUCGUUUAGGAUGUUUCAACUUGAGUAUAAAAGGCCACGGGGAGUGUGUGAGGAUUGUAAAAGAGUUCAACAUCCCGAUGCUGGUGCUGGGGGGAGGGGGGUACACCAAGAGGAACGUGGCCCGCUGCUGGACCCACGAGACCGCCGUGCUACUCAAUGAAGAACUCAACAACGAGAUUCCAUUCAAUGAUUACAUCCAGUAUUUUGCUCCAGAUUUCACUCUUCAUCCAGAUGUAUCAACAAAACAGGAAAAUCUCAAUACAAAACAGUACCUGGAUAACGUGAAGGCGACGGUACAUGAACACCUGAGGAACCUGAUCAACUCCCCCAGUGUCCAGAUGCAGGACAUUCCUCCGGAUCUCCUCAGUCUGGAGAACACAGAGGAACAUGAUCCAGAUAUCCGGAACCAUCAGGAUCAGACAGACAAAAGAAUUGAUCCUAAUAAUGAGUUUUACGAUGGAGACCAAGACAAUGACAAAGAUGGUUUCUUGGAUGUCUGACGAAAAGCAGUGUGACAAACAUCAGAAAAAAUGAUUAAGGACUAGAAAAUUAGAUGCUAGUACCAGUAUCUAGCAAAGCAAAUGAAGAAUCUGAGAUAUCUAGAAAAAAUCUUGAGAUUUUUCAGGAAUGUCUGACAUCAGAUGACAACUGAAAUAAGAUAAUUACAAAGGCAGCUAGCACACAAACUUCUAUCAUCACAAGUUGACUUGACUGUUCAAUUUAGAGGUUCAUCAUCCUCUUUUGGGUAAAAAGGGGCCUAUGAUUUUUAAAUCAGCCUCUAUUACAUUUCACAAUUUGUUCAUGCAUCUUUUAAACAUUGAUUUAAAAAAUCACAGUGUAAUGUAUAUCUUUUGAAUAUGAUGUUUUUGGCCAACAAAAGAUUUGGAUGUGUUGUCAGUUUUAAUUGUUACUUGUAAUAUUUAAUUCCCUAUCAAGACAUUGGUAAGGAAUAGAGAUGGUUAAGAGUGUCUGUAUUAUGGCUUAUCUGAUACAGUGCUAAAUUUCCUCGGUUGUUGAUUUUAUUUUUGAGUGGAGGAUCAGAAAUGAAUAACAAACUCAAUCUUUAACAUUACAGAAUUUAAGGAAAAAACUUGAAGCAAUUCAAUUUCUGGAAUUCAACAUCGUGCAAGAUUAAUUUUUGUUGUUGUCAUUUGUACAUUACAUCAUAGAACUGAUCCCGAGGCUUUGGUAUCUUAAAUGGUUUCAUAUUUCACAAUGUAAAUCAUUUUUAGUAUUUUGUCACAAGUAUGUACAUUAAUGUCUGUGUGUGUAAGGUAUUAUGGAUCUGAUAAACAUUUGAUAGAUAUUGUACAUAUAAUAAAUGUAGAAAAUCUU
rnacentral:misc_RNA from 1 species